UGGGGAAUCGUCUAACGGUAGGACAACGGUCUCUGACACCGUUAAUCUAGGUUCGAACCCUAGUUCCCCAGCCA
rnacentral:tRNA from 1 species